rnacentral:ncRNA from 1 species
UAAGUUCUUAACACUCUGCUCUACUACCAGAAAUUUCCGUGCACGGAUGCACGGAAAAGGUGUGACUGAGCCAUGGAUGGCGAAUUCACACCGGUUUCGUCCACAUUCAUUCUCUUUCCAGAGUGUUUAGAACUU